rnacentral:lncRNA from 1 species
UAUAUGAAGAUUUUACUUAGCUCAUGUAAAGUGAGUUUGAAAUAUAUAUGAUGAAUGAAUUAACAUCUUCUCUCAAACUCCAAAUUAAGACAAACAAGAAAGGGGAUCUUUAUUGACCAACAUUAGUCCACAAGAAAACUCUGAUAGAAGAUUGGCAUGAAGAAGGUAUGUCUAUGACCCCAUCUUGUAGAAUUUGUAAAGGAUGAGCAAAGUAGAUCUAUUGUUUAAAGCUAUAUUGAAAUAUGAUAGAAUAAUUAUUUUAUCAUACAGCUAGUAGACCAGAUUGUAUGCUCAUUAUGUGACCUUGUGCAAGACUUCAAUCUAACUUUAAUUAAUCAUAUUUUAUU